AGAGUUUGAUCAUGGCUCAGGACGAACGCUGGCGGCGUGCCUAGUACAUGCAAGUCGAGCGGACCAAGAAGAGCUUGCUCUUUGAGGUUAGCGGCGGACGGGUGAGUAACACGUGGGCAACCUGCCUGUAAGCUUGGGAUAACUCCGGGAAACCGGUGCUAAUACCGAAUACAACAAAGGACUGCAUGGUCCUUUGUGAAAAGACCUUGUGUCACUUACAGAUGGGCCCGCGGCGCAUUAGCUUGUUGGUGGGGUAAUGGCCUACCAAGGCGACGAUGCGUAGCCGACCUGAGAGGGUGAUCGGCCACACUGGGACUGAGACACGGCCCAGACUCCUACGGGAGGCAGCAGUAGGGAAUCUUCCGCAAUGGACGAAAGUCUGACGGAGCAACGCCGCGUGAGCGAUGAAGGUUUUCGGAUCGUAAAGCUCUGUUGUUAGGGAAGAACCGCCGGGAUCACCUCCCGGUCUGACGGUACCUAACGAGAAAGCCCCGGCUAACUACGUGCCAGCAGCCGCGGUAAUACGUAGGGGGCAAGCGUUGUCCGGAAUUAUUGGGCGUAAAGCGCGCGCAGGCGGCUUCUUAAGUCAGGUGUGAAAGCCCACGGCUCAACCGUGGAGGGCCACCUGAAACUGGGAAGCUUGAGUGCAGGAGAGGAGAGCGGAAUUCCACGUGUAGCGGUGAAAUGCGUAGAGAUGUGGAGGAACACCCGUGGCGAAGGCGGCUCUCUGGCCUGUAACUGACGCUGAGGCGCGAAAGCGUGGGGAGCGAACAGGAUUAGAUACCCCAGUAGUCC
rnacentral:rRNA from 1 species